rnacentral:lncRNA from 1 species
GCCGACCGUUACUCCGCUGAGGUAAUAAAAGAGGCCGCCCUAAUUGCAGUCAGCUGAGCCGGGCGAGCUGCGGCUUCGCUCCUGUCCACGCCUCCUUCCCUCGGGCACCUCGGUGGCUCUGCUGAAGGCGGGAGGGAUGGAGGUAACGCUUCACUGCUGGAAGAGGCCGGGCGGGUCUCUGAGGGCCGCCCCUCAGGGCCUGUGUGAUGUGUGAGAGAGAGAUGCGACGAGAAAUGGAUUUUGCUGGUGGAAUUGGCAGCUCGGGGCAGGUAGUAAACCGGUGCUGGAGUGCUCUGGUAAAGGAGAUGUCUGUCCGGUCCAGGACCUGCAGUCCCAUUUAAGCUGUGCUGCUGCGGUGGCUCUGUUGGUGAGGGUUCUCUACUCUACCCAAGCAGCGAUAGCUCUCUGCUUCACCUGGACUCGUGCUAUGGAUUCAGGAUCCUCUCAAGCAAUGGGAAAGGAAGCAAAAGGGAAACAAAGGACUUUUCCUGCCAGCUCUUGUCACAGGAAGACCUAUGCUCGAAGGGAACCACCCCCUUGA